rnacentral:rRNA from 1 species
CCUACGGGAGGCAGCAGUCGAGAAUCAUUCACAAUGGGGGAAACCCUGAUGGUGCGACGCCGCGUGGGGGAAUGAAGGUCUUCGGAUUGUAAACCCCUGUCAUGUGGGAGCAAAUUAAAAAGACAGUACCACAAGAGGAAGAGACGGCUAACUCUGCGCCAGCAGCCGGGGUAAUACAGAGGUCUCAAGCGUUGUUCGGAAUCACUGGGCGUAAAGCGUGCGUAGGCUGUAUCGUAAGUCGUGUGUGAAAGGCGCGGGCUCAACCCGCGGACGGCACAUGAUACUGCGAGGCUAGAGUGAAGGAGGGGGAAGCGGAAUUCUCGGUGUAGCAGUGAAAUGCGUAGAUAUCGGGAGGAACACUAGUGGCGAAGGCGGGUUCCUGGACAUUAACUGACGCUGAGGCACGAAGGCCAGGGGAGCGAAAGGGAUUAGAUACCCCAGUAGUC